UACGUAGGGGGCAAGCGUUGUCCGGAGUUAUUGGGCGUAAAGGGCGUGUAGGCGGCCUGUUAAGUCAGGUGUGAAAUUUCAGGGCUUAACCCUGAAACUGCGCUUGAAACUGGCAGGCUUGAGGACAGGAGAGGGAAGUGGAAUUCCCGGUGUAGCGGUGGAAUGCGUAGAUAUCGGGAGGAACACCAGUGGCGAAGGCGGCUUCCUGGACUGUACCUGACGCUGAGGCGCGAAAGCUAGGGGAGCAAACAGGAUUAGAUACCCUGGUAGUCCUAGCCGUAAACGAUGAGUGCUAGGUGUGGGAGGUUGAAAUCCUUCCGUGCCGGAGUUAACGCAAUAAGCACUCCGCCUGGGGAGUACGGCCGCAAGGCUAAA
rnacentral:rRNA from 1 species